ensembl:lncRNA SNHG14 small nucleolar RNA host gene 14
GGGGGAAGCUUCCAUCCUGCUGGGAACAACCCUUCCUUGAGGUCCAGUGGCAGGAAGGGGGGCUUCCUGAGGUGGAAAGCCCUACUGUUGAGGGACCUGUCCUGGGAAUUUGCUGUCCAAGCUGCUUCUGAGCCAUGGGGUCACCUCUAGGGUGGUGGGGUCUUGAGCCCAAGGAAAGGAGAGGACACCAUGUGGUUCCUGAUUGGCUGAGUGUGGCCCGGCUCUGUGUGUCGGAGUUGUGCAGGGUAUGGAUUGGGACCCACCAGUGAAAGCACAUGGCCCUGGAGGUCCGCAGGCUUGGAGAGGGCACCAGAUCUGGCACCCACCAUGCCCAGAUGGUGAGCCUGGAGGAAGACUCGUGUUGGGCCCACAGGCCCCAGGCCAGUGUACGUCAGCCAGGUGCUCAGCCCAUGGUGUGCUGAAGCUCUGACCCUUCCUGACUCCGUGGUCUCCUGCACUGAGCUGUGAUGACCAUAUCCAGUGAGCUCUUCCAAACAGGUGGGCUCCCUAGCAUUGACCGACAGAGUGAGCUCUGCCACCCAGGACAUCCCCCUGGCAUUGACUGGCAUAGAUGCUGACCCUGGAGGAAGACUUGUGUCGGGCCCCCAGGCCCCAGGCCAGUGUCCAUCAGCCAGGUGCUCAGCUCCCAGUGCGCUGAAGCUCAGACCCUUCCUGGCACCCUGGUGUCCAGCACUGAGCUGUGUGAGCUUUUCCACCCAGGUGGGCCCCCUGGCAUUGACCGACAUAGAUGAUGAGACUGGAGGAAGACUUCCAUUGGGCCCACUUUUCCUGGGCCAGUGUCCAUCAGCCAGGUGCUCAGCCCCUGGUGUACUGAAGCUCCAGCCUUUCCUGGUGCCCCAGUCUUCUGCACUAAGCUGUGUGAGCUCUUCCACCCAGGAGGGCCCCUUGGCAUUGACUGGCAUAGAUGGUGAGACGGGAGGAAGACUUGUGUUGGGCCUGCUGUUCCUGGGCCAGUGGCCAUCAGCCUGUUGCCCAGCCCCUGAGGCGCUGAAGCUCAGGCCCUUCCUCACACCCUGGUCUCCUGCACUAGCUGUGUGAGCUCUUCUGCCCAGGUGGGGCCCAUGGCCUUACACGACAUAGGGUUUGGUGGCCGGGAGGGCCAAUGAUGCUCUGCGUCUGUGUUGGAUCAGUGUUCUUCAUGGAUUCCAUCACAUGGUGAGCCUUGAGGAAGACUUGUAUUGGGCCCCCACAGGCCCCAGGCCAGUGUCCGUCAGCCUGGUGCUCACCCCCAGUGUGCUGAAGCUCAGACCCUCCGUGGCACCCUGGUCUCCUGCACUGAGCUGUGUGAACUUUUCCUCCCAGAUGGGCCCCCUGGCAUUGACUGGCAUAGAUGGUGAGACCGGAGGAAGACUUGCAUUGGGCCUGUUGUUCCUGGGCCAGUGGCCAUCAGCCUGUUGCCCAGCCCCUGAUGCGCUGAAGCUCGGGCCCUUCCUCGCGCCCUGGUCUCCUGCACUGAGCUGUGUGAGCUCUUCUGCCCAGGUGAGGCCCAUGGCCUUAAGCGGCAUAGAUGGUGAGCCUGGAGGAAGACUUGUAUUGGGACCCUACAGGCCCCAGGCCAGUGUCUGUCAGCCUGGUGCUCAUCCCCCAGUGCGCUGAAGCUCAGACCCUCCCUGGCACCCUGGUCUCCUGCACUGAGCUGUGAUGGUGAGUCUGGAGGAAGACUUGUGUUGGACCCCCACAGGCCCCAGGCCAGUGUCCAUCAGCCUGGUGCUAAUCCCCCAGUGCUCUGGAGUUUGGACCCUCCCUGGCACCCUGGUCUCCUGCACUGAGCUGUGUGAGCUCUUCCACCCGGGCGGGCCCCCGGCAUUGACUGGCAUAGGUGGUGAGCCCGGAGGAGGACUUGCGUUCGGCCCGCUGGUCCCAGUGUGUCCGGAAUUGGUGGGUUCUUGGUCUCACUGACUUCAAGAAUGAAGCUGCGGACCCUCGCUAUGAUGAUAUGGAAGAAAAGCACUCUUUGGCCUGUUGUGACUGGGACAGUUGACAGCACCCAGGUGUCCUUUAAUGAAAAUGCUCUUGACACCAAUGCAUCCUAGCAUCACAGCUUCAGGAAGCCUUCUCAAGUGUGCAUGGGGAGUACUAUGUCUUUCAUCAAUAAUGAAAUCUUCUGAUUUGUAAGACAUGCUGCCAAGAGAUGUGCCAUUCUAUUAUAAAAGAUCAGUAGCUUCCUUUACCGACGUGUAUAUUCUAUCUAGAACAUUGAGCUAUGGAAGACUCCCACCUAAGGGAAUUAGUUUUACACCUUCAGAUAAAGACUGCUGAGAAGAGCACCCUCUGGUGUUGUCACAGAGGCAAGUGCUACCGCACAGGCAUGCUGCAGUGAAUUUAACUGAUCCUCUGUCCCUGCAACCGUUGUUUAAGGAUGCUAUUCUGAAAAGACUGUGGAGGAAGAAAACCCUUUACCCUGUUGUUCAGGGAGAAACUGACACCACUCAACUGCCUGGCACUGAAAAUGUGGCAUCCAGUCCACUUUACCAUCAGUGUUUAAGGAAACCAUCUCUGAUAAGGAUGACUGAGGAAGAGUACUCUUUGGCUUGUUGACACCAGCACAGCUGACACACCCAGAUAUCUGUUUGGUCUCCUGUGAACUUUCAACCAGGAUUUAAGGAUGCCACUCUGGUUAAAAGCUGAAACAACUUCAAGGAAACUUCAGGGAAAAGAGAAGGCCUGGAAUCUGAUCCUCCACUUCAGAGAACAGGGGUGGUGGAGUCUAUGGCCCUUCUCCUUGAAUCUGAGUGAAAUUAGUGAGUCUUUCAAUCCAAAGACUACAGUCAUACCUCAACUAUCUACAGAGGACUGGUUCCAGGACUCCCAUGGAUCCCAAAAUCCAAGGAUGCUUCGAAUCCCUUAUAUAAAAUGGCAUGGUAUUUGCAUAUAACCUACAUGCAUCUUCAAAUAUGUUAAACCAUCUCUAGAUUACUUAUAAUACCAAAUACAAUGUAAUGCUAUGUAAACAGUUGUUACAAUGUAUUGUCAAAGACAAGCUCUCCUUGCCAAUCCCUGACCAAAUGAGAGAUUCAUGAGCAAAAUAAAUAGUUGCUGAUAUUUAAGGCACUAAGUUUGGGGCAAUGUAUUACACAGCAAUAAAUAACUGGAACAGCAUAGUAAAUUCUAGUUAAAAAUACUAAACUACUAAGUUUUAGUUAACAUACAUGCUCAAGUUAAGGGUGUGGUAUACUAACAACUGCAACUUACUUUGAAAAGCAUAAAAAAAGACACUAGAAGAAGACAGGAUGGAUAGAUGGACAAGAUAGAAGACAAUAACAAAUAGAACAAAAUGUUGUGAAAUUAUAUUCUACAAUUAUUUUAAAGUCUGUGUGGUUUGAAAAAUUGUACGAUAAAAUGAAGAGUGAAAUAAAGACAUUUCCAUACAAACAAAAGCUGAAAGAUUUUGUAGCCAGUAGACCUAUACUUUAGAAAUGUUUAAGAAAUUUUUUCAAGUAAAAGGAAAAUAACACCAGCAACAAACUUGGAUCUACAAAAAGGAAUCUCCACAAAGAAAAAUAAAUAAAAAUGGUAAAUAUGAAGGUAAAUAUAAAGGAAUGUUAUUCUUAGUUUUUAAGUUUCUUCGUAAGACAACUGGCCUUUGAAAGAAAUAGUUUCAAACGCUGCUGUGGAAUCUAUAACACAUAUAGAAGUAAAAUGUUAAGAUCAUAAUACCAAAAAGAAUGAGGGAGAGUAAAUGGAUGUAUACUAUUCCAAAAUUCUUACAUUAUACAUUAAGAGGAAUAAUAUUUUUGAAGGUAGAUUGAGGUAAGUUAAAGGUGCAUAUUGUAAAUCCUAGAAGUAUCACUGGGGGGAAAAAAAACAGAGGGACAAGCUAAUAAUGGAGACAAUACAAAAUUCCAAAAAUGCUCCAUUAACCGAAAAGAAGGCAGAAAAGGAAGAAAAGAUUAGACAAAUAGAAAACAAAUAGUGUCUUAAACACAAUUAUAUUGCCAACUGCAAUAAAUGUAAAUGGACUUAAUCAAAAAGCAACGAUCGUAAAAAGUCAAUCUGAAAGCAAGAUGCAACUAUAUGCUAUCUAAAAGAAAGACAUUAAAUGACCAAUAAGCUGAAAAUAAAAACACAGCAAAAUGAUAUAAUGUGCAAAAAUUAAUCAUAAGAAAGGAAUGGAUACACUAAUAUCAAAGUAGACUUUAGAUAAGGAACAUUACCAGCGAUAAACAGAGACAUUUCAUAAUGAUAAAGACAUCAAUUAAUCAAGGAGAUCUAACAGUCCUAAAUGUGAACACACCUAAGGACACAA